rnacentral:rRNA from 1 species
GAUGAACGCUGACAGAAUGCUUAACACAUGCAAGUCGAUGGGGAAGUGGUGCUUGCACCAUGGUAACCAUGGCGGACGGGUGAGUAACGCGUAAGGAACUUGCCUGCGGGACUGGGAUAACAGCAGGAAACUGCUGAUAAUACCGGAUAAGGUCAUUAAGCUGCAUAGCUUAGUGAUGAAAGGAGACGCCUGCGGAGAGCCUUGCGUCCUAUUAGCUAGUCGGAGGGGUAACGGCCCACCAAGGCGAAGAUAGGUAGCCGGCCUGAGAGGGUGGACGGCCACAAGGGGACUGAGAUACGGCCCUUACUCCUACGGGAGGCAGCAGUGGGGAAUAUUGGACAAUGGGGGCAACCCUGAUCCAGCAAUUCUGUGUGCACGAAGACGGUUUUCGGAUUGUAAAGUGCUUUCAGCAGGGAAGAAGGAAGUGACGGUACCUGCAGAAGAAGCGACGGCUAAAUACGUG